rnacentral:rRNA from 1 species
UACGUAGGGGCGAGCGUUAUCCGGAAUUAUUGGGCGUAAAGAGUGCGUAGGUGGUUACCUAAGCGCAAGGUUUAAGCUUGAGGCUCAACCUCAUUUUGCCUUGCGAACUGGGCUACUUGAGUGCAGGAGGGGAAAGCGGAAUUCCUAGUGUAGCGGUGAAAUGCGUAGAUAUUAGGAAGAACACCAGUGGCGAAGGCGGCUUUCUGGACUGUAACUGACACUGAGGCACGAAAGCGUGGGGAGCAAACAGGAUUAGAUACCCCGGUAGUCCCUGAG